rnacentral:rRNA from 1 species
UACAGAGGAGCCAAGCGUUGUCCGGAUUGACUGGGCGUAAAGCGCACGCAGGCGGAUGCGCGCGUGGGGUGUGAAAUCUGGCCGCUUAACGGCCAGGCGCCAUCCCAUACGGCGCGUCUGGAGCUAUGCAGAGGUCCGUGGAAUUGCCGGUGUAGUGGUGAAAUGCGUAGAGAUCGGCAGGAACACCCAGGGGGAAACCAGCCGACUGGGCAUAUGCUGACGCUGAGGUGCGAGAGCGUGGGGAGCGAACCGG